GAUUCCACAAUGGAACAAGAGGUUUAUUGAAUGGGACAAUGUGAGAGGAAAUCUAUUUUACAACUUCAAGCAGGCUUCUGUCCACAGAGGAUGAACAAAAUUUGUUGCUGAAAGGAAAACUAAUACUAAGCAAAAGAGCCUAGAUAAAAAAGCAACAAAAUGUCACCUUUUGUAGUUCUUCACCCAUGUAUCUGUUGUAUGUGUGCACCCUGCCCUACACACAUCUUUAUGUAGCGUGUACACACAGAUGUUGCACAGAAGCACUCUUCAAACACAAAGAAGCUGAAAACAACAUAAUCCUGUCCUCUGGAAGUUCUUGCCCUCCAGAUGAGCCCAGGUCUGGGUGCUCAUGUGGUGACAAUUCCGACUCUGUGGUGACAACAUCCCUCUGGCCUAUAACAAAGACAGCUACCAGCAAAGCCAGCCAGCUGGAAUGCAGGACUUGCUGAAGGCUGUAAAAAAAAAACGCAAAACGCAAAAAUGAAAUCCCAAACCCUUGCAAGAGGAGACCUGGGUGAGACAGAGGCAUUGAGAUGGGAAACAGCUCAAGGAAAAGCAAAACAGGGACAGAGGAAGAGCACAUGCGCAAAGGAGAUGGACUCUCACAGAACAACAUAGCAUACUAAUUCAUUCUGAUCUUGCUAUUUAGUACCUGCAAAGUCUAC